CCUACGGGUGGCAGCAGUGGGGAAUAUUGCGCAAUGGGCGAAAGCCUGACGCAGCGACGCCGCGUGAGGGCUGAAGGUCUUCGGAUCGUAAACCUCUGUCAGCAGGGCAGAACGGUCACUGUGCUAAUCAGCAGUGAAUUGACGGUACCUGCAAAGGAAGCACCGGCUAACUCCGUGCCAGCUGCCGCGGUAAUACGGAGGGUGCGAGCGUUAAUCGGAAUUACUGGGCGGAAAGCGCUCGUAGGCGGUAGGUCAAGUCAAGGGUGAAAUCCCCGCGCUCAACGUGGGAACUGCAUUUGAAACUGGCAAACUGGAGUGUGUGAGAGGAUAGUGGAAUUCGAGGUGUAGGAGUGAAAUGCGUAGAUAUCUGGAGGAACAUCAGUGGCGAAGGCGACUAUCUGGCACAUAACUGACGCUGAGGAGCGAAAGCGUGGGUAGCAAACAGGAUUAGAUACCCGAGUAGUC
rnacentral:rRNA from 1 species